CCUGGGUGACCGAGUGAAAUCCCAUCUCUAAAAAAAUAUAUAGCAUAUAUUUAAUGUUCCUGCCUGUUUCCUGACUCAGAGCCCCUAAAACUCUUAAAAUUUCUGAAUAAGUGUCUAAUGAAGUACAUUAAUGAGACGAGUGGCACCUGUGUAGUCUCAGGAGGGGUCUGGUUGCUAGCAGAGCUGAGCAAGUGAUUAGAGGGUUAAAACAUCCAUUGCUACCCCAGCUAACCCCCUGGAAGGGGGAUUGAAGGUUGAGUUGAUCAGCAGUGGCGAAUAAUUUCAUCAGUCAUGCCAACGUAGUGACACCUCCAUAAACCCCAAGAGGAGAGAGAGAGACUUUGAACUAGUACACAUGAUCUACUUUGAUAUUUAUGACCUUUGGGAGAAGAUGUUUUAUAUGAAGCAGAAAUAAAGUGUAAGCCAACAUUAAACAAAAUUCUCUGUAA
rnacentral:lncRNA from 1 species